UACGGGGGGGGCAAGCGUUGUUCGGAAUUACUGGGCGUAAAGGGCUCGUAGGCGGCCAACUAAGUCAGACGUGAAAUCCCCAGGCUCAACCUGGGAACUGCGUCUGAUACUGGAUGGCUUGAAUCCGGGAGAGGGAUGCAGAAUUCCAGGUGUAGCGGUGAAAUGCGUAGAUAUCUGGAGGAAUACCGGUGGCGAAGGCGGCAUCCUGGACCGGCAUUGACGCUGAGGAGCGAAAGCCAGGGGAGCGAACAGG
rnacentral:rRNA from 1 species